GUACGCGAGGCUCCGAGCCAAGCAGCACCCCUCCCUCCCUCUCCGGUUUUCUAGGUGUCUUGAUGGAGACCAACACAUCAACCCGACAAAGAUGCUCGACUGGUUCUAUGGACUUGUGCAGAAAGGUGUGAACAAGGUAUCAUCCUCGCAAUCGGUCUGGGCCUGGGAUCCUGUUUCACUGAGGGUCUCUCGCCAUGGACCAGCCAUAAUGGUGAACAUAAAGGAAGGGUAUGACUUGUCC